rnacentral:rRNA from 1 species
ACCCAGUGCAAUUCGUUGCACUAUCGUUAACUGAAUACAUAGGUUAACGAGGCGAACCGGGGGAACUGAAACAUCUAAGUACCCCGAGGAAAAGAAAUCAACCGAGAUUCCCCCAGUAGCGGCGAGCGAACGGGGAGCAGCCCAGAGUCUGAAUCAGCUUGUGUGUUAGUGGAACGGUCUGGAAAGUCCGACGGUACAGGGUGAUAGUCCCGUACACCAAAAUGCACAGGCUGUGAACUCGAAGAGUAGGGCGGGACACGUGGUAUCCUGUCUGAAUAUGGGGGGACCAUCCUCCAAGGCUAAAUACUCCUGACUGACCGAUAGUGAACCAGUACCGUGAGGGAAAGGCGAAAAGAACCCCGGCGAGGGGAGUGAAAAAGAACCUGAAACCGUGUACGUACAAGCAGUGGGAGCACCUUCGGGUGUGACUGCGUACCUUUUGUAUAAUGGGUCAGCGACUUAUAUUCUGUAGCAAGGUUAACCGUAUAGGGGAGCCGCAGGGAAACCGAGUCUUAACUGGGCGUUAAGUUGCAGGGUAUAGACCCGAAACCCGGUGAUCUAGCCAUGGGCAGGUUGAAGGUUGGGUAACACUAACUGGAGGACCGAACCGACUAAUGUUGAAAAAUUAGCGGAUGACUUGUGGCUGGGGGUGAAAGGCCAAUCAAACCGGGAGAUAGCUGGUUCUCCCCGAAAGCUAUUUAGGUAGCGCCUCGUGAACUCAUCUUCGGGGGUAGAGCACUGUUUCGGCUAGGGGGUCAUCCCGACUUACCAACCCGAUGCAAACUACGAAUACCGAAGAAUGUUAUCACGGGAGACACACGGCGGGUGCUAACGUCCGUCGUGAAGAGGGAAACAACCCAGACCGCCAGCUAAGGUCCCAAAGUCAUGGUUAAGUGGGAAACGAUGUGGGAAGGCACAGACAGCCAGGAUGUUGGCUUAGAAGCAGCCAUCAUUUAAAGAAAGCGUAAUAGCUCACUGGUCGAGUCGGCCUGCGCGGAAGAUGUAACGGGGCUAAACCAUGCACCGAAGCUGCGGCAGCGACACUAUGUGUUGUUGGGUAGGGGAGCGUUCUGUAAGCCU